GGAUUGAUGUGGGUUUUAACUUGUUGCCGUUCGGGACGUUGACGAAAUGGAGCGAUUUGACCCGUCUUGAAACACGGACCAAGGAGUCUAACAUGUGUGCAAGUGUUAGGGUGUGGAAACCCCAGCGCGAAAUGAAAGUGAAGGGCAGCGUAAGUUGUCUGAGGUAGGAAAUGCUGCGGGCUUCGGUCUGCGGUGUGGCACUAUCGACCGAUCAUGAACCUUCGUGGUGAAAGAUUUGAGUUUGAGCACAUAUGUUGGUACCCGAAAGAUGGUGAACUAUGCCUGAGUAGGGUGAAGCCAGGGGAAACUCUGGUGGAAGCUCGUAGCGAUUCUGACGUGCAAAUCGAUCGUCAAACUUGGGUAUAGGGGCGAAAGACUAAUCGAACCAUCUAGUAGCUAUUUCCCUCCGAAAGUUCCCUCAGGAUAGCAGCAACCUAUUUACGAUAGU